UGCAUAUCAAUAAGCGGAGGAAAAGAAACUAACAAGGAUUCCCCUAGUAGCGGCGAGCGAAGCGGGAAGAGCUCAAAUUUAUAAUCUGGCACCUUCGGUGUCCGAGUUGUAAUCUCUAGAAGUGUUUUCCGCGUUGGACCGCACACAAGUCUGUUGGAAUACAGCGGCACAGUGGUGAUACCCCCGUACACGGUGCGGACGCCCAGCGCUUUGUGAUACACUUUCAAUGAGUCGAGUUGUUUGGGAAUGCAGCUCAAAUUGGGUGGUAAAUUCCAUCUAAAGCUAAAUAUUGGCGAGAGACCGAUAGCGAACAAGUACCGUGAGGGAAAGAUGAAAAGCACUUUGGAAAGAGAGUUAACAGUACGUGAAAUUGUUGGAAGGGAAACGCUUGAAGUCAGACUUGCUUGCCGGAGCUUGCUUCGGUUUGCAGGCCAGCAUCAGUUUUCCGGGGUGGAUAAUGGUGGUUUGAAGGUAGCAGCCUCGGCUGUGUUAUAGCUUUCCACUGGAUACAUCCUGGGGGACUGAGGAACGCAGCGUGCUUUUUGCGAAGGUAUCGACCUUUCACGCAAAGGAUAAAAUAAAAAACGUUCGCCGU
rnacentral:rRNA from 1 species